rnacentral:lncRNA from 1 species
GUCCCAAAAGUAGUACAACACACUGUAAAAGUUUCUUUGAGAAAGCGCAGGUGGGAUUUUUUUUAUUUUCAUUUAUGUUCUAAAAGAAAUGCACUACGAAAUAAUUGUGUUCUCGGACCUAAGAGGUGAAAUCUGUAAAUAUAGAAUCUGUACUUUGGCAACUUCCCUAAAUGAUUUGAUGGUGUCAAUCUUGUCAAAAUAGCAUGAAACUAAAGGAUUUAAACUUUUAUUUUAUAGAAUUUCUGCAAAAAUGACCAAUUUUGGCAUUUUAUGGUCAAAAUAGGCAUUUUAUAGCUUUUUUCAAUAUUGAUGCAUAAAUGGCAUCUCUGACUUUCUAUCUGACAGUGUUUUCAUGUGUCAAUAUUUGUGUUUCUAUGCCUUUAUCUAGUUCUUUUUACUUAUUUAUGAACUCUGAAUCUACAGAAAAGAAGAUUAUCUCAGACAAUAUGUGCAAAAUGUGUUGUAUAAAUGACCCUUGUCUAACGCCCUGUUUGGAUGAAGUCAAAAGUGGGGAGCUUGGUACAUAAAAUUUGAAGUCCAUAAUAAAGACCUCACUAAAUUUGUAUCAAAAGCACUUUACAAUGUCUAUUGUACCUGUUCCAUUUCACAUAAUAUCUUUCUUUUCUUCUGUAGGAUAGCAAGUGGUUUAAAUAUAAGCCUGUUGAGAAUAAAUUGCAUGCAAGUUUUUCCCUAAAAGGCAAAAAUCUUUAUGUAUCAGACCAUACUGUUUGUAAGAAAAGUUAAUUGCAAGAGUCUUUUUGUGCUCAGAUUUGUUGUAUCAUGUCACAUGAGUAUAGAAAUGAUAAAAAAGACACAAAAUUUUUAUUUCUUAUAGCCUCAAUAUGCAUUUUUUAAUGUAAAUAUGUGGCACGGCCUAAAUUGACCCUAAAUUUUUUCCAGUCUUACUUGGCCUAAGACCCUUUUAAACUAAUAUGAUAUGUUAUUUGUAACUUUUCUUUCCAUUUAAAGUACUUUCAAUACAUAUGUAAGGAUUAUUUAUAACCAAAAAGCUUCACAAAUUUAAAAUUGCUGGAAAAUAUUACAUCUUCAUGUAAGGCCCCCUUCAUUGAAAAACCUCAAUUUUUAGGCACAGGCUCAUAUAAAUUUGACUUUUGAAUAAUUAUGCCAAGUCUGAUAAAUCAAAUGAGUACUCUAUUGCUUUUAGUACAUGAUAAGUUAUAUAUUAAGGCAUUUAAAAAGUAUUUUUUUGCAAUAUUUUAAUUUUUAAAGCCCCAAAUGUUGAUAGUUGAAAUUUUUCAAUUUUAACGUCAAAAUUUUACACGCAAAGAUGAGUAUAGAACUUAACUUAUUGUCUAUAAUAUACAUCCUAUUGUCAUGAAACUUUGUAAGCAGUGUUAUAAUUUAUUAAGCUUUGGUCAUACCAAGUUUUUUUAAGAUUUGUCAACUCUUUCUAUCCUAUUAGGUCCGAGACCACAAUUGUCGUCCCUUGAUUUUCGUUGUUCACAAAUAUAGUCCCUAGUGUUGACAGUGGGUUACUUGCCAUUAAUUUUUAUACCCUUCCAAAUUUAUUUCUCCAUGUUUAAUGCCUCAAAUUGCAAGUAGGGGGUGAAAUUACACUGUAAAAAAAUUUGGGUCCAGAAUUUUAAAGGAAAGUAGUGAUUUGGUCCAGGUGAAAAAGGUUGAAAAAUAGCACUUCGGAAGCUGUCAAAAGAUUUCAAGACGCCCUAAACAUAAAAUUGUCCAUAUUUUGAGUUAGAGCGAUGAAGUUUUCUAUAAUUUUGAUCCCCAAAAGUAGUACAACACACUGUAAAAGUUUCUUUGAGAAAGCGCAGGUGGGAUUUUUUUAUUUUUCAUUUAUGUUCUAAAAGAAAUGCACUACGAAAUAAUUGUGUUCUCGGACCUCUAAGAGGUGAAAUCUGUAAAUAUAGAAUCUGUACUUUGGCAACUUCCUAAAUGAUUUGAUGGUGUCAAUCUGUCAAAUAGCAUGAAACUAAAGGAUUUAAACUUUUAUUUUAUAGAAUUUCUGCAAAAAUGACCAAUUUUGGCAUUUUAUGGUCAAAAUAGGCAUUUAUAGCUUUUUCAAUAUUGAUGCAUAAAUGGCAUCCUGACUUUCUAUCUGACAGGUUUUCAUGUGUCAAUAUUUGUGUUUCUAUGCCUUUAUCUAGUUCUUUUACUUAUUUAUGAACUCUGAAUCUACAGAAAAGAAGAUUAUCUCAGACAAUAUGUGCAAAAUGUGUUGUAUAAAUGACCCUUGUCUAACGCCCUGUUUGGAUGAAGUAAAAAGUGGGGAGCUUGGUACAUAAAAUUUGAAGUCCAUAAUAAAGACCUCACUAAAUUUGUAUCAAAAGCACUUUACAAUGUCUAUUGUACCUGUUCCAUUUCACAUAAUAUCUUUCUUUUCUUCUGUAGGAUAGCAAGUGGUUUAAAUAUAAGCCUGUUGAGAAUAAAAUUGCAUGCAAGUUUU